rnacentral:rRNA from 1 species
GCUCAGUCGGGGCAGGGCGCGUGUGUAAGUCGUACGGGGCGAGGUUUGUCCUGCUGCAUUGGGCGUAAGGAGCGGGUAGGCGGCCUGGAAGGGCAGCUGUGAAAACUCGAGCCUCAACCUCGAGACGUCGGUUGAAACCACCUGGCUAGAGUCCGGAAGAGGAGUGUGGAAUUCCCGGUGUAGCGGUGAAAUGCGCAGAUAUCGGGAAGAACACCCGUGGCGAAGGCGGCACUCUGGGACGGUACUGACGCUGAGACGCGAAAGCGUGGGGAGCGAACAGGAUUAGAUACCCCAGUAGUC